ACCCCCCUCUUGCCCCAACCAUUCAUUCAUCCAUGUUCUGGAGAACUCUGAAUGAAAGAAAUCCUAGCCGCAUUGCCCUCCGCCUAGCCCUCCAUCGUUGCCGCCUAACCCAGCUCCUCUUCGGCUCUUCAUCUUCGCUGGCUUCUCGGCACGGACCCAGCUGAAGAAAUUGGAGGGGUUGGAUGAGGAGACAUUGAUGCCUCAGAAGACACCACCACCAUCAACAUAUCCUUGUUAGUUGAAGGUUUUUUUAGCACAAUAGUUGAAAUCACAAUCAUAAUUACAUAAUAUGUUUAAAUAAUUAUCCCAA